rnacentral:rRNA from 1 species
AAAGGUAGCAUAAUCAAUAGUCUCUUAAUUGGUGACUUGUAUGAAAGAUUGGAUGAGAUAUAUACUGUCUCUAAUUAAUUUAUAGAAUUUAAUUUUUUAGUAAAAAAGCUAAAAUAAGUUUAAAAGACGAGAAGACCCUAUAGAGUUUAAUAAUUUAUUUAAUUAUUAUUAAUAUAUAAUUUUUAAAAUUAAAAUUAAAUAGAUUAUUUUGUUGGGGUGAUAGAAAAAUUAAAUUAACUUUUUUUUGUUAUUUACAUUAAUUUAUGAUUAAGUGAUCCAUUUAUAAUGAUUAAAAGAAAAAAUUACCUUAGGGAUAACAGCGUAAUUUUUUUUUUUAGUUCAAAUAGGAAAAAAAGUUUGCGACCUCGAUGUUGGAUUAA